rnacentral:tRNA from 1 species
AAUAAAGUAAGCUAAGGAAGCUAUUGGGUUCAUACCUCAAAAAUAGAUGUUAUAAUUCUCUUUAUUA